GAUGAAGAACGUAGCGAAAUGCGAUAAGUAAUGUGAAUUGCAGAAUUCAGUGAAUCAUCGAAUCUUUGAACGCACAUUGCGCCCGCCAGUAUUCUGGCGGGCAUGCCUGUUCGAGCGUCAUUUCAACCAUCAAGCCCCCGGCUUGUGUUGGGGACCCUGCGGCUGCCCGCAGGCCCUGAAAACCAGUGGCGGGCUCGCUGUCACUCCGAGCGUAGUAGCAUAUAUCUCGCUCAGGGCGUGCUGCGGGUUCCGGCCGUUAAAAGCCUUUUUUUUUACCCAAGGUUGACCUCGGAUCAGGUAGGAAGACCCGCUGAACUUAAGCAUAUCAAUAAGCGGAGGA
rnacentral:misc_RNA from 1 species